rnacentral:rRNA from 1 species
GCGUGAUCAUACUCGGAGGAGUUUCUCUGGUGUUCCUGCGGAUUAUUCCUGUUGCUUCGGAGGAGCCCGCAAGGGUGCCCGCCGGUCUCAUCAGAAUCUCUGUUUUCGAACCCGACGAUACUUCUGAGUGUUCUUAGCGAACUGUCAAAACUUUUAACAACGGAUCUCUUGGCUCCAGCAUCGAUGAAGAACGCAGCGAAACGCGAUAUGUAAUGUGAAUUGCAGAAUUCAGUGAAUCAUCGAAUCUUUGAACGCACAUGGCGCCUUCCAGUAUCCUGGGAGGCAUGCCUGUCCGAGCGUCGUUUCAACCCUCGAGCCCCUGUGGCCCGGCGUUGGGGAUCUGCCACGGCAGGCCCCUAAAACCAGUGGCGGACCCGAAGGGCCCUCUCCUUUGCGCAGUAGCAUUCGCCUCGCAUUGGGAGUCCUCGGCGUCCUGCCUCUAAACCCCCCACAAGUCCGCUUCGGCGGCACCAAGGUUGACCUCGGAUCAGGUAGGAAUACCCGCUGAACUUAAGCAUAUCAUAAGCGGAGGAAGGUGACCCUUCGAAAUCUCUCCCUUGGUAACAUAAUCCGUUGCUUCGCGCCCGAAGGGCCCCCCCAACAAUCGUAGCAACAACUUGAUUUUUGGAAGGCCACUUUAGAGAUUGGCCUAAAAAAACACAUAUAAUUGGGAAUUAAUUGAAAUCAUUUUAACAGGCCCCUCGGG